UGGAUACUCUGGGUUGCCAGCAUCAGCCUGCGCGAUGAACGUGAUGCAUAAAUGUUACAGAGAACAUUUGUGUUUCUCUCUUUCGACAUCUCGUUGAGAUGAAGAAAACCGCUGUCGAUGGAAUCACUGAAAUAGAGGCACAUAUGUGAUGAUUAUAGUCACUACUGGAAGGCACUUUUUUAUAUUACAAAUGCUGGUUGCUUUUGCAUAUUACGGUUUUGUGUUCAUAUUUCUACUGCUGUGAAUCAUGACCACUUCUAUAUCAUGCAUUGCUAAUAGAAAGGGCAUUAGUGGUGUGAUACAUAGAUA